rnacentral:rRNA from 1 species
AUUGAACGCUGGCGGCAGGCUUAACACAUGCAAGUCGAGCGGGGUGAUGGUGCUUGCACUAUCACUUAGCGGCGGACGGGUGAGUAAUGCUUAGGAAUCUGCCUAUUAGUGGGGGACAACAUCUCGAAAGGGAUGCUAAUACCGCAUACGUCCUACGGGAGAAAGCAGGGGAUCACUUGUGACCUUGCGCUAAUAGAUGAGCCUAAGUCGGAUUAGCUAGUUGGUGGGGUAAAGGCCUACCAAGGCGACGAUCUGUAGCGGGUCUGAGAGGAUGAUCCGCCACACGGGGACUGAAGAACGGCCCAGACUCCUACGGGAGGCAGCAGGUGGGAAUAUUGGACAAUGGGGGGAACCCUGAUCCAUCCAUGCCGCGUGUGUGAAGAAGGCCUUAUGGUUGUAAAGCACUUUAAGCGAGUAGGAGGCUCUUUUGGUUAAUACCCAAGAUGAGUGGACGUUACUCGCAGAAUAAGCACCGGCUAACUCUGUGCCAGCCGCCGCAGUAA